GGGUUGUGAGGUUAAGCGACUAAGCGUACACGGUGGAUGCCCUGGCAGUCAGAGGCGAUGAAGGACGUGCUAAUCUGCGAUAAGCGUCGGUGAGGUGAUAUGAACCGUUAUAACCGGCGAUUUCCGAAUGGGGAAACCCAGUGUGAUUCGUCACACUAUCAUUAACUGAAUCCAUAGGUUAAUGAGGCGAACCGGGGGAACUGAAACAUCUAAGUACCCCGAGGAAAAGAAAUCAACCGAGAUUCCCCCAGUAGCGGCGAGCGAACGGGGAGCAGCCCAGAGCCUGAAUCAGUGUGUGUGUUAGUGGAAGCGUCUGGAAAGGCGCGCGAUACAGGGUGACAGCCCCGUACACAAAAAUGCACAUACUGUGAGCUCGAUGAGUAGGGCGGGACACGUGGUAUCCUGUCUGAAUAUGGGGGGACCAUCCUCCAAGGCUAAAUACUCCUGACUGACCGAUAGUGAACCAGUACCGUGAGGGAAAGGCGAAAAGAACCCCGGCGAGGGGAGUGAAAAAGAACCUGAAACCGUGUACGUACAAGCAGUGGGAGCACGCUUCGGCGUGUGACUGCGUACCUUUUGUAUAAUGGGUCAGCGACUUAUAUUCUGUAGCAAGGUUAACCGAAUAGGGGAGCCGAAGGGAAACCGAGUCUUAACUGGGCGUUAAGUUGCAGGGUAUAGACCCGAAACCCGGUGAUCUAGCCAUGGGCAGGUUGAAGGUUGGGUAACACUAACUGGAGGACCGAACCGACUAAUGUUGAAAAAUUAGCGGAUGACUUGUGGCUGGGGGUGAAAGGCCAAUCAAACCGGGAGAUAGCUGGUUCUCCCCGAAAGCUAUUUAGGUAGCGCCUCGUGAAUUCAUCUCCGGGGGUAGAGCACUGUUUCGGCAAGGGGGUCAUCCCGACUUACCAACCCGAUGCAAACUGCGAAUACCGGAGAAUGUUAUCACGGGAGACACACGGCGGGUGCUAACGUCCGUCGUGAAGAGGGAAACAACCCAGACCGCCAGCUAAGGUCCCAAAGUCAUGGUUAAGUGGGAAACGAUGUGGGAAGGCCCAGACAGCCAGGAUGUUGGCUUAGAAGCAGCCAUCAUUUAAAGAAAGCGUAAUAGCUCACUGGUCGAGUCGGCCUGCGCGGAAGAUGUAACGGGGCUAAACCAUGCACCGAAGCUGCGGCAGCGACACUAUGUGUUGUUGGGUA
rnacentral:rRNA from 1 species